UAAUUUUAAAAAGCAGAGCAUCGUAUAAAGUUGAAGAUAUGGUUCAACAGUUUCUACCAAAUCACCUUAAAGGAUUUGACUACGAUAUGAAUCUUAUAUUUU
rnacentral:ncRNA from 2 species